AUCCAGCUGACGAGUCUCAGAUGGGUCGAAACGCGCGUCCUGGAU
rfam:Schistosoma margrebowiei strain Zambia genome assembly, scaffold: SMRZ_contig0000301